GAUCCUGGCUCAGGACGAACGCUGGCGGCGCGCCUAACACAUGCAAGUCGAACGAGCGAGAGAGAGCUUGCUUUCUCGAGCGAGUGGCGAACGGGUGAGUAACGCGUGAGGAACCUGCCUCAAAGAGGGGGACAACAGUUGGAAACGACUGCUAAUACCGCAUAAGCCCACGACCCGGCAUCGGGAAGAGGGAAAAGGAGCAAUCCGCUUUGAGAUGGCCUCGCGUCCGAUUAGCUAGUUGUG
rnacentral:rRNA from 1 species